rnacentral:lncRNA from 1 species
UUAUGCUAUAAGUAUAUGUUGUGUCGGGUUCAAGACAUUUUGAUUAUGGGGUAUGCAUCUUAUUGGUAUUUUAUUUAUUGGCGUAUGUAUAUGAUCAGAUAGUUUAAAUGUUGGUUCAAACAAUACUACAUUUGUAUUCAUACUUGAGGUAGUGUUGCAAUGUUGUUGUAGUUUUAGAUGUCAAGAAAAUGAGUAAUUUGUUGUAUUAACAGGUUGAAAGCCAUCAUCAAUUUGGCGUAGAUGGGUAUUCAAGAAAAUAAAGGCAUAAGUGGGAGUUUGGGUUCGUUUCUUACUCGCAGAUGCUUUGGUUGUCUUAUGAGGGGCUACUUAGAAGGUGAGUAAUUAAUGGUUAUUUUGGAAACUUUGCACUAAUUUUCUUGCUAAAUGGUCAUGACGAUGUUGAGUUGUGAGGUUUUGGUGUGUGCUGCCUCCUUUAGAAGAAGAGGAUGUUCCUCAACUAUACCCAAAAGGGUCAAAUCUUGGUGAGUGAGCUUGAGAAACAGUUGAAAAUGGAGAUAAAAUCAAGAAACAGAGCCAGAGCCAGAGUCUAAAAGAUCUGGUAAAAGACAUAAUUUCUCUUUAGAUGAUGGUAAUUUAGGGUCUUUUAAUGAGGAUAUUUUUUGAGUAGUCUAAUGAGAAUAAGAGUUAGAAAGAAAGAUGGAGCUGAAGAUCUUUUAAAAAAGAAGAUGACAAUGGGAAAUUUGUCACGGAUAUCUUAAGCUUGAAAAUACACUGUUGGAAGUGCAGCUCCUAGUGUUAAAAAUACUUAAAAUAUGUGAUUUUGGGUAUUCAAAGUAAUCAGUUAGGCGUUCCCAAUCAAAGUCAGCUGCAACUUACAUUGCACUUGAAGUUCUUUCAAGAAAAGAAUAUGAUGGAAAUGUGGCUCCUUUGAGCUUUUAGUUAUUUACUAGACAUGCAAUUUAAUGUUAUUUCUUAUUUGAAUUACCAUACUUGACUCAUCCUAACACACACCAUUGUUCUUGUGGAAAAACAAUAAAUUAAAUGGUUAAAAAAUUAAAAGUUAAGUUUUCGAC